UACGUAGGGUGCGAGCGUUAAUCGGAAUUACUGGGCGUAAAGCGUGCGUAGACGGUUAUGUAAGUCAGAUGUGAAAGCCCCGGGCUCAACCUGGGAAUUGCAUUUGAGACUGCAUAGCUAGGGUGCGGAAGAGGGAAGCGGAAUUUCCGGUGUAGCGGUGAAAUGCGUAGAUAUCGAGAGGAACACCUGCGGCGAAGGCGGGUUGCUGGGCUGACACUGACGCUGAGGCGCGAAAGCUAGGGGAGCGAACGGG
rnacentral:rRNA from 1 species